AUUCAUUUAUGCACAAAUUCGCUCUUCUCACGAUUUAUAGAUAAGGCCAAUUGUGAAUUGGGUCACAAGCGUUUGUCAUUUUUAAAAAGUGGGUAACUGGAAAAAACGUUUGGGAAACACUGGACAAGACAGACAGUUACUCUGCUGAGUCUCAGUUGGUUAACCUCCCUUUUUUCCCCCACUACUUUUUUUAAUUUAUAAAAACAUAAAUCCAGGUUAAUGACAACUGCUGUGGGAUCGGCUAUAUUGACAUUUAACAUGAGUUGCUGGUAGGAACGAACCUACAGAGAAUUAUCACCAGAAUCCGCAGGAGAACUCCAGCUUAGUGUGGACGGAGAACCAAAACAAAGACAUAAAGGUGCAUUUUUAAAUGUAACCGGCUUAGUGUGGACGUACACUUAGACUCCCGUGGCGAUGCUGACUGUUAAUCGACAUUCAUCAUCUUUUACAGUUUAUGGUAGAGUUCAUUCUUGUACUUUUCCUUUUGUUGUUCUAUUGUCGUCCUGUCUAUCACCUCCUUAUUACUUUUUUCAGUAAUAUCAUGUUGAACAAGCUCAGUGGGAUCUAAUACUCGAUUGGAUCUGUUUCCUCUCACAUUCCUGUAGACUUACACACUGAAGAAGCACAGACACCACUGACUGAGUCGAUGCCAGUGGAAUUAAACUGGGGGUUUUCACUUCCAGUCAUUGUUUCCAUUAUGUCCUGCAGCCACCGGGGACUCUCUUUUAUAACAAGCACAUGUCCACACUCCCAAGUUUGGGUCAAUCACUGAAGGAUUAUUGAAUGUAUGGGCAAAUGUUUCAUGAAAGCGUUGGUUUUAGGAGGGGCAUGUUGUAAUUCUUUAUUUCUUUAAGCAUUUUGUGAGACUGUAUGUUCUUGGCUGUAGCAGCUUGUUACCCAUAGACACUACUUUCUAGAUAAAGUAAGAAGUUAGAAUAUGUUGUUUCUAACAGCAGUUGGAAGCAUUCAUGAAUGUAUAUUUUCAUACACUAUCUGUUAGACAAUGCGGUCGGUUUACGUCUCGCUAUACAUCUUGUUCUUUGUGGAUAUGAAGGUGGAGGAUGAUUGUGAUUUUUUGCCAGCACAUCAUAGAUAGAGAUACAGAUGUUUAAGUCUCAGCCAGCCUAAUCUGGACCUUUAAGCCACAUGGAUAAUGAGACAGCACAAUACAUAAGAUUACCCAGAAACACCCAACAACA